GACGAACGCUGGCGGCGUGCUUAACACAUGCAAGUCGAACGGUAAGGCCCUUCGGGGUACACGAGUGGCGAACGGGUGAGUAACAUGUGGGUGAUCUGCCCUGCACUUCGGGAUAAGCCUGGGAAACUGGGUCUAAUACCGGAUAGGACUCCGGACUGCAUGGUCUGGGGUGGAAAGCUUUUGCGGUGUGGGAUGGGCCCGCGGCCUAUCAGCUUGUUGGUGGGGGGAUGGCCUACCAAGGCGACGACGGGUAGCCGGCCUGAGAGGGUGACCGGCCACACUGGGACUGAGAUACGGCCCAGACUCCUACGGGAGGCAGCAGUGGGGAAUAUUGCACAAUGGGCGCAAGCCUGAUGCAGCGACGCCGCGUGAGGGAUGACGGCCUUCGGGUUGUAAACCUCUUUCAGCACCGACGAAGCGCAAGUGACGGUAGGUGCAGAAGAGGGACCGGCCAACUACGUGCCAGCCGCCGCCGUAA
rnacentral:rRNA from 1 species